rnacentral:rRNA from 1 species
AUGGAGGAGGGGGGAGACGGAUCCCUGGAGGCGCGGCCCGGCGUCCUGCUCGUCGGCGCCCCCGGCGUGGGCAAGCGAACCAUCCUCUCCCGGUUGCUUGGGGCGGAAGUGCCGGACACAUCCGACUUGUCCUCCGGUGUGCUAUGUCAGGGGUGGAAAAUUGACACCAAGUACUACUCUGCUGAUAUUUCCAUUUGGACAGCACAUCUCAAGGAAGGGUUUUCUCUUGGCUCGCUCCCUCAUCUGGACCAACUGGCUGCUCUUGUUAUGGUCUUCGAUAUGAAUGAUGAAUCGUCCUUACAUACCCUCCGAAAUUGGGUUGGUAAUAUUGAUGUCCAGAGGUUUGAAGUUGUGCUGUGCAUCGGAAAUAAAGCAGAUCUUGUGCCUGGCCAUGGUGCGCAUGUAGAGUACAGGAGGCGCAUGCAAAGGAUUGGCGAGUCAAGUAGUGAUCCACAUCCUGAAUAUUUGGAUUUUGGGAUAAAUGAAAAUGAAGGUUGUGGUUUGUUAUCAGAGGAAGAACCACAAAUAGAGAUCAGAGACUCCACUUUGAAGUGGUGCAUUGAGCAUAGUAUUGAGUAUAUUGAAGCUUGUGCUUCCAAUGCUGACUUUGACAAAUGCCUAUCAGUGGAUGGUGAUAGCCAAGGCCUAGAGCGACUCUUUGGAGCCCUUUCUGCACACAUGUGGCCUGGAAUGAUUCUGAAAUCUGGAAAUAAAAUUACUAGUCCAUCCUUGGUCGAAAAAGAUGAAUCUACAGAUGAUGAAUUGACUUAUGAAUUUGACUACGAGGUCCUAUCCCAUGCAUCUGAUGAGCAAUGGGAAUUCGUCGGUGAAUCGAGUACAUCAAGAAGCUUGGAAGGAUUGGAUGAAGCUAAAUCUAUGCAGGACAACACACAGCAAGUUGUGAACGGCAAUGCUAGUUCUUCGGCGCCCAACCCUCUUCCAAAUGACAGAUCUACAGAACCUGCUGAAGAAAAUCCUGUAACUCAGAGUCACACAACUGAAGAUAGUAGUAAUCAUGUGGAUAACACUGGAGCAGAUACUUCUGAGGACCAGCGAACUGACACCCCAGAGGUCAAUGCACUGUUUGAGGAUGAUCAUUAUGGCGUAGAUGAUCUGGAGCGACUAAUGUCAGAGAUUGGCAACAUGCGCUCCAACCUAAGGCUCGUUCCUGACUUCCAAAGGAGGGAGAUGGCUGCCAAGAUAGCCAUGAAAAUGGCAACCAUGUUUGGUGAUAGUGACGACGAGGGCUUCCAUGCUGUCUAA